rnacentral:rRNA from 1 species
AGCGAACGCUGGCGGCAGGCCUAACACAUGCAAGUCGAACGGCAGCACAGUAAGAGCUUGCGCUUACGGGUGGCGAGUGGCGGACGGGUCAGGAAUACAUCGGAAUCUACUUUUUCGUGGGGGAUAACGUAGGGAAAGUUAUGCUAAUACCGCAUACAACCUACUUGUGAAAGCAGGGGAUCUUCGGACCUUGCGCGGAUGAAUGAGCCGAUGUCGGAGUAGCUAGUUGGCGGGGUAAAGGCCCACACAGGCGACGGUCCGAAGGUGGCCCGAGAGGAAGAUGCGCCACACGGGAAGUGAGACACGCCCCAGACUCCGACGGGGGGACGCGGUGGGGACUAUUGCGCAAUGCAGGAAAGCCUGAUCCAGCCAUACCGCGUAGGUGAAGACGGCCUUCGGGUUGUAAAGCCCUGUUGUUGGGAAAGAAAAGCAGCAGGUUCAUACGCCGCUGUUCUGACGGUACCCAAAGAAUAAGCACCGGCUAACUUCGUG